GUUAAGUUUUAUUCUUGCUUCUUCGUUCAGUUUUUGUUUGUUUUAUAUGUAAGCUUUUGCGUGGGUUGCUCCUUUCCUCUAAAUGGGGCUGGACUAUUUUUUGUUUAAUUCUCAUUAGUUGUUAUUGGAUGGUCAAGUAUCCUUGUAUUUAGCAAUUCAUUUUAGUUUCGGUUAAAUUUUGUGCCAGCAGCCGCGGUUAUACCUUGGAGGCGCUUGAAUGUGUUCGGUGUUGUAGUUAUUAUGUUUAUUUUUAUUUGGCUUUAUUUUAUUUAUUUAUUAGGUGAAAUUUUUAUUAGUAUUUUAUGUCAUUUAAUUGUUUGGAGGCUAUGAAAUUCCUUUUAUAGACUAGGAUUAGAUACCCUAUUAUUUUGGGAUGUUAAUUUUUAGUGCCUGAGUAGUAUUAGUUAUGUUCUUGAAACUUAAAGAAUUUGGCGGUAUCUUAUUCCAUCCAGAGGAAUCUGUCUCGUUAUCGAUAGUCCACGCUGGACCUUACUUAGUUGCUUUGGUUUGUAUACCGCCGUAUAUUGAUUAUCUUUUUAGGGUUUAUUUAAUUUUCUUGUUUCUUUAUUUUGAUUUAUUUCAGGUCAAGGUGCAGCUUGUUUCUAAGUGGAAUGAUGGAUUACAUUGUUAUUUGUUUAUUGGAUUGUCGGUUUUAAUAUUGAUAUGAAAUUGGAUUUGGUUGUAAUGUUUUGUAGAUUGUCUUCAUGAUAAUUGGUUCUGGGAUAUGUACACAUCGCCCGUCGCUCUCGUUUAUUUGUUAAUGAGAUAAGUCGUAACAAAGUGGUUGUACCGGAAGGUGCAGCUGGAUUGAU
rnacentral:ncRNA from 1 species